CGUAGGGUGCAAGCGUUAAUCGGAAUUACUGGGCGUAAAGCCUGCGCAGGCGGUUUUGUAAGCCAGAUGUGAAAGCCCCGGGCUCAACCUGGGAACUGCGUUUGGAACUACAAGACUAGAGUGUGUCAGAGGGGGGUGGAAUUCCGCGUGUAGCAGUGAAAUGCGUAGAGAUGCGGAGGAACACCGAUGGCGAAGGCAGCCCCCUGGGAUAACACUGACGCUCAUGCACGAAAGCGUGGGGAGCAAACAGGAUUAGAUACCCUGGUAGUCCACGCCCUAAACGAUGUCAAUUAGCUGUUGGGGGUUAGAAUCCUUGGUAGCGUAGCUAACGCGUGAAAUUGACCGCCUGGGGAGUACGGCCGCAAGGUUA
rnacentral:rRNA from 1 species